GACGAGGGUCCAAGCGUUGUUCGGAAUCAUUGGGCGUAAAGCGGGUGUAGGUGGCUCUAUAAGUCAGAAGUGAAAGCCCCGGGCUUAAACCCGGGAAGUGCUUUUGAUACUGCAGAGCUUGAAUGUGGGAGAGGAUCGUGGAAUUCCGAGGUGUAGGUGGUGAAAAUACGUAGAUAUCUGGAAGGAACACCGGUGGCGAAGGCGG
rnacentral:rRNA from 1 species